UAGGGAAUCUUCCACAAUGGACGCAAGUCUGAUGGAGCAACGGCCGCGUGAGUGAAGAAGGUUUUCGGAUCGUAAAGCUCUGUUGUUGGUGAAGAAGGAUAGAGGCAGUAACCGGUCUUUAUUUGACGGUGAUCAACCAGAAAGUCACGGCUAACUACGUGCCAGCAGCCGCGGUAAUACGUAGGUGGCAAGCGUUGUCCGGAUUUAUUGGGCGUAAAGCGAGCGCAGGCGGAAUGAUAAGUCUGAUGUGAAAGCCCACGGCUCAACCGUGGAACUGCAUCGGAAACUGUCAUUCUUGAGUGCAGAAGAGGAGAGUGGAACUCCAUGUGUAGCGGUGGAAUGCGUAGAUAUAUGGAAGAACACCAGUGGCGAAGGCGGCUCUCUGGUCUGCAACUGACGCUGAGGCUCGAAAGCAUGGGUAGCGAACAGGAUUAGAUACCCUGGUAGUCCAUGCCGUAAACGAUGAGCGCUAGGUGUUGGGGACUUUCCGGUCCUCAGUGCCGCAGCAAACGCAUUAAGCGCUCCGCCUGGGGAGUACGACCGCAAGGUUGAAAC
rnacentral:rRNA from 1 species